rnacentral:lncRNA from 1 species
AGUUAUGAAAAAACAGUAGGUUUGUGAAAGCUUUAUUUUGAUGUUUAGAUAGAGAUGUUUUUCAAAGAAGGAAGUAAUUAUCUUUUUUGUUCCUAUGACAGGACCAAUACAUGUAUUAAAGCAUGAUAGCCUACCAAAUCUGAAUCCAUGGUUUCUAUCAGGGAUCAGGUAUCAUCUAUUAUCAGCAGCUGAUGUCAGUAUCAGAAAGCUCCUGUUGGAAGCUCUUGAGAAAUAUCUUGUUGCCAUCAGAAGAGAUUUUUACCUGUGACAUCUUAUUGAGCUGACAGGCAAGAUGUGGAAAGCACUGUACUAAUAAAGGAAAUAAUCUAUAUCUUGGGACAGAUCACUGAGCAAACAUGGUGCUAGAAGAGAUUUGAAAGCCUCUAUGCAAUCUCUAUGGCAACAAUCAAGUUUAUGUACUUAUUUUAUUUUUUUGGUCCUUGGAUGAGUGGUUAAAGGAUUCAUUUUGCUUUUCAUCUGACUCCCAAUGCAC